rnacentral:rRNA from 1 species
AACGAACGCUGGCGGCGUGCCUAACACAUGCAAGUCGAGCGAGAAAGUCCCUUCGGGGGCGAGUAGAGCGGCGGACGGGUGAGUAAUACAUGGGUAAUCUACCUUCGAGAUCGGGAUAACUCUGCGAAAGCGGAGCUAAUACCGGAUAAGACCACGUAACCAUGUUACGGGGUAAAGGUGGCUUAUUUUUAAAUGAGCUAUCACUUGAGGAUGAGCCUGUGGCCUAUCAGCUUGUUGGCGGGGUAAGAGGCCCACCAAGGCUAUGACGGGUAACUGGUCUGAGAGGACGACCAGUCACACUGGGACUGAGACACGGCCCAGACUCCUACGGGUGGCAG